rnacentral:sRNA from 1 species
CUCGCUGCUAAGCUAUCCCUCGCUGCUAAGCUAUCGCCGCUGCCAACCUAUCUAUUGCUGCAAGCUAUCCCUCGCUGCUAAGCUAUCGCUGCCAACCUAUCUAUCGCUGCCAAUUUAUCUACCACUGCCAAUCUAUCUAUUGCUGCUAAUCUAUCGCUGCUGUCAAUCUAUCUAUCGCUGCUAAUCUAUCUAUCGCUGCUAAUCUAUCGCCGCUGCCAAUCUAUCCCUCACUGCUAAGCUAUCCCUCGCUGCUAAGCUAUCCCUCGCUGCUAAGCUAUCCCUCACUGCUAAGCUAUCUCUCGCUGCUAAGCUAUCCCUCGCUGCUAAGCUAUCCCUCACUACUAAGCUAUCCCUCGCUGCUAAGCUAUCCCUCACUGCUAAGCUAUCUCUCGCUGCUAAGCUAUCCCUCACUGCUAAGCUAUCCCUCGCUGCUAAGCUAUCCCUCACUACUAAGCUAUCUAUCACUGCUAAUCUAUCGCUGCCAACCUAUCUAUCACUGCCAAUCUAUCUAUCACUGCUAAUCUAUCACUGCUAAUCUAUCGCUGCUAAUCUAUCACUGCUAAUCUAUCACUGCCAACCUAUCUACCGCGGCGAAUCUAUCUAUCACUAUCAUUACUAGUUCAAAAUAGAACUAGAGCAUAAAUACACUAAACUUCUUUUGAUAGGUAAUGAUUUUUGGUAAUGCUCAUAGCAUUAUAUCAUCUAUAUAGGGUAAAUCAUGGUCCCAUUUGGUCCCAUUUUGUUAUCAGUAAUUUAUAAGAAGAACAUGACCUGGGACUAGAUUUAUAAUAUAAACAGUAUAAAGUGACUAAUUUAAUAAACACUAUAUGGGACCAGGACUAAGAAAUUUGAUAAUGGAACUGGAGAAAUAUUUAGUCCCAGUUCCAUGCAUAGUCACACAGCC